GAUGAACGCUGGUGGCGUGCCUAAUACAUGCGAGUCGAGCGAACAGACGAGGAGCUUGCUCCUCUGACGUUAGCGGCGGACGGGUGAGUAACACGUGGAUAACCUACCUAUAAGACUGGGAUAACUUCGGGAAACCGGAGCUAAUACCGGAUAAUAUAUUGAACCGCAUGGUUCAAUAGUGAAAGACGGUUUUGCUGUCACUUAUAGAUGGAUCCGCGCCGCAUUAGCUAGUUGGUAAGGUAACGGCUUACCAAGGCGACGAUGCGUAGCCGACCUGAGAGGGUGAUCGGCCACACUGGAACUGAGACACGGUCCAGACUCCUACGGGAGGCAGCAGUAGGGAAUCUUCCGCAAUGGGCGAAAGCCUGACGGAGCAACGCCGCGUGAGUGAUGAAGGUCUUCGGAUCGUAAAACUCUGUUAUUAGGGAAGAACAAAUGUGUAAGUAACUAUGCACGUCUUGACGGUACCUAAGCAGAAAGCCACGGCUACUACGUG
rnacentral:rRNA from 1 species